CGGGCUUAAGGAUGAUGUUGCAAGCUGCACAUGCAUCCGGCCUCUAGUAGUCGUCCAUACGAGCCCACGAAUCUCGAUCAGAAGUCCUGCUUCAGGAAAUCAGCACAGUAUGCUAGUACUGUGCUGAUCCUUCUUUGAUGGUUGAUCAGGUACCUCCUUCUUCUUGAUUUGGACUCUUCCAAAGAUGGAAAGUAGAAGGAGGAGUUUCAAAUCUGAGACGCUCUCAGAAAACUCAAGAUGG
rnacentral:lncRNA from 1 species